AUAUCAAUAAGCGGAGGAAAAGAAACUAACAAGGAUUCCCCUAGUAACUGCGAGUGAAGCGGGAAGAGCUCAAAUUUAAAAUCUGGUGGUCUUUGGCCAUCCGAGUUGUAAUUUAGAGAAGUGUUUUCUGUGCCGGACCAUGUACAAGUCUCCUGGAACGGAGCGUCAUAGAGGGUGAGAAUCCCGUCUUUGACAUGGACUACCGGGGCUUUGUGAUACACUCUCAAAGAGUCGAGUUGUUUGGGAAUGCAGCUCAAAAUGGGUGGUGAACUCCAUCUAAAGCUAAAUAUUGGCGAGAGACCGAUAGCGCACAAGUA
rnacentral:rRNA from 1 species